UGUUUGGUCCCUGCUUUAACCCUCUGAGGUCCGAGGGCAUUUUCACAUAUCCUCUGUAAUUGAACUUUUUUUUCAGGUAUUUGCAUGUAACUGAUCCCCAUGUGUUUCAUAUCAACAUGUUCAGAACAAUCUC